GACCAACUCACCUGGUUUGCCAGGGACUGAGGGAUUUCCAGGGAGUGAGGGACCUUCAGUGCUAGAACUGGUGACGU
rnacentral:miRNA from 1 species